rnacentral:lncRNA from 1 species
AUCUGCGGACAACAAACGCCAUUCUGAUUCAGUAUUGCACCGUUGUACAGUCGCCAUAGCUGAAAUAUGUGCAGCUCGGAGGGUCAUCCUUCGACUGAGACCUGUGGCAAAAUGUAGGCAUCUACAUCUCUACAUAUAUUAUUUUAUAUUCUAUAAGAUGGUGACUCGUCAACCAGUGCCACCGUCACUUGGGAACACAACGGCUGCGUUGAAGCUGAACAUCAUUCGACUCACACCAGCAUCUCAAGGUUAGUAAGCCAUCAUCUUAUUUAGUGUUUUCUAUAUGUGGAUCUAUGAAUGAGCCCCAGGAUUUGGAUGCCCACCGAGCAGUGAAUUCGUGCGAUUGGGGGACUGGAGGAGAUGCUCUCACCUCUGUUCUUCCCUGCAGGAUGGGUUUCCCCAGAAGCAGCUCUGCGAGCACGCACCCAACGCUCCACAUAUCGAUGGACGGCCCGUAGUCCGUUGACCCCAAGAGAAGCUCUGGCGGGCGGUACCACAGAGUCACCACACGGCUGGUCAACGGCUGCUUCCGCCCAUA